GCCAUCUCUGGGGAAAGACCUCUUUGUGGAUGCAGAAGCAGUAAACAGCUCUCACUUCCUGAGGGGGGAGAGCAGCCAAUCGCACAAAGAGAAAGGGAAAGGCAAAUCGGCUGGGGAUUGCAAGCAAGGGAGCUGGAGAGAAGGGUCAGCGUGGUGGGUAGCACCAGGCAGCUCCAUGAACGAGGGGCUGCCCUGGCUGCCAGAGCUUCCACUGGGGAUUCUUUCUGGGACUACUCCAAGACCAGCUUUAGGGUUCAGGACGUUUGCCUCCUCCACCCUGUUCAUUUUGUAAUCCUGUUCUACAUUUGGGCUUCGUUUGUUUUCUAGUUUCCCAGUUGAAGUGGGACACCAACCGGGGAUUUGGCACCACCUAGUGGCCGGGAGGAGAAAAGUCGCCAGUUAAGUUUUUGAAUAGCUCUGGAUCCCAGUCCCGAAACAACAGCUUGAACACAAAGAUGAAAAUAAUACAAAGCAGAACAGCGGACCCUGCGAGCCUCGCCACCAUAUUCACACCAAUGAGCCUUCCCCUCUGGAGUUCCUCAAGCCAAUCAAGUGGACCAUCAGGACUGACCCUCACGAACAGUUAGUGGACUUCAAACUGGCAGAGAACAGAACACUUCAUGGUCAGGAUUCAGGGAUCUAUGUAGAAGAGGCUGCAGAAAGAUUUGAAGAGCCAGAGAUGAUGGAUGACUCCAAAGCAACAGUGUCUUCCAAACAGAGCAAGACUAAUGCACAUAUGAACUCACAUUGACUGUGGCAGCAUGCACAGGACCUACACGGGUUCAAGUCGGACAGGGUCCCAGUGCUGAGAGGGGAAAGUGGACAAGGUCACUCCUAACCAAGAAGCUAUCUGCAUUGACACCUACUGGUAAAGGAAAAAUUAGUUUUCUCCAAUGGAAUCUCUCUGCGGAUAUCAACCACACCUCAGGCAGGCCCCAUGCCCAGGAGUAGCUGGCCAACACAAAACAAUCUCAAUGCUAUUUUUGUAGACUUUUUGUGUCAUAUUGCUUUGCUUGGUCAUUUGUUUUGGUGUUGGUGGUCUUUUGCUUGUUGGUUUCUACUUUUGUGUUUUUGUGUGUGGGUAUGCUUGUUUCUUAUUGUUUUCAAUCUAUUUAUUUAUUAAGGAAAGUAAGAGAAAGAGUGUGGA